rnacentral:rRNA from 1 species
GGCAACAGCUCAAAUUUGAAAUCUGGCCCUUUCAGGGUCCGAGUUGUAAUUUGUAGAGGGUGCUUCGGCGUCGGCCGUGGUCUAAGUUCCUUGGAACAGGACGUCACAGAGGGUGAGAAUCCCGUACGUGGCCGCCGGCCUUCGCCAUGUGAAGCCCCUUCGACGAGUCGAGUUGUUUGGGAAUGCAGCUCUAAAUGGGAGAUAAAUUUCUUCUAAAGCUAAAUAUUGGCCAGAGACCGAUAGCGCACAAGUAGAGUGAUCGAAAGAUGAAAAGCACUUUGGAAAGAGAGUCAAAAAGCACGUGAAAUUGUUGAAAGGGAAGCGCUUGCAGCCAGACGUGCCCGCAGUUGCUCACCCGGGCUCUCGCCCGGGGCACUCUUCUGCGGGCAGGCCAGCAUCAGUUCGGGCGGUCGGAUAAAGGCCUCUGUCACGUACCACCCUCCGGGGUGGCCUUAUAGGGGAGGCGCAACACGGCCAGCCUGAACUGAGGACCGCGCAUCAGCUAGGAUGCUGGCGUAAUGGCUGUAAGCGGCCCGUCUUGAAAACACGG